GGAAAGUCAGAUAUUUUAGAUCCUUUAAUCGUUUAGAGGCCAACUCAUGCUAACAGAGACGACAAGCCAGGGUGGAGUGCCAUGGGAAAUCUUAUGACAUCCAGAAGGAUCCAAAAGGAGAUGGGAGAAAUCCAGAAAGGAGCUCUGACCUUUGUUUUAAUGUUACACAGAAUUUGCCUCUCCGUUAUCACAGUUGAAGCCCACCUUCUGCUUCUACAAGAUGAGACUCACCUGCACCCAAUGAGGCAGGGCCACAAGCACCGACAACCAUCUAUAAAGAAAACCAGAAGCAGGAAGACGGAUCAUGGUCAAGAAAGGCCUGAAUAUUCAGUUUAAUCACUCUAAGAUUAAAGCAGUGACAUUUCAAAGAACACAAUAAUUUCACAAAGACCAUGCACCACAUGAGUUUAAACAACUAGACUAGUCAGUGCAAACAAAACAAGUUUCCUACUGCAACAAUUCCCAAACCUGGAUAUACACUGAUGUUGGAGGAACUUUGGGGAAAUGCAGAUUCCUUGGUCCCACUCCAGAAUGAAUGGAAUCAAGAAUCUCUGGGAGUCAGAAGAUGCUGUGUCAGUGGCUUUAGUCACACAAUUACCUCACUGGCCUCAGAUUCCUCAUCUACAAAGAUGGGACCUUUGUGACCAUUGUCUUGGGAACUGGACUGAUAUUCCAAUAGCGCAGGCUCUUCUCACAGAAGCCCAUCCAUAAAUUAUAGCCCUGAGAAGUCAUUAAGAGCUUCUAGCAGAUGUUUGCAAAAGCAUUCCCAGUUUUUAAGUAUUCAUAGCAGAAAAACACAGGAAUGAAAUAUAUUAAUAUGUUGAUUACAGUCAUUGCUGGACAGUGGGAUUUCAGGGAGAAAAGUGGGAGGUGGUAGUACCAGACCCAAGAGGCUGGAGAGGCCUGAAGACAACUGUAUCCAGGCAAACCUGGAGGAUUGCCUCUCCUCCAGAGAGGAGCUGGGAUCACAAAGGAAGGAGCCACUUGGGAGCUGAAAACACUGGAACAGAAAGAGGACAGAAUACCCAGGCAGUGCUCUGAAACACGGAGACCCCACUACAACAACAACAACAAUCCACUUGAAAGAAGAGACGAUCAAAUACUCACCAAACCAAAUAAGAAUGUGCAUACUUUUUGUGAUUGUAAAAGUUCUGAAAGAGAGGUAUAAUCUGUUUCUCCAGUACCUAGUCACAUACUUCACUUCAAACAGAACACAAGAUCUCAUCAAGUUUUACAAAAUACUCUGUGAGUUAACCAGGUUUCAAUUUUAAUUCUCUUUACACACAUCGCCCAUUCAUUUAUUAGAUUUGUUUAAACUGCAGUCUUUGCUAAAAGCCAGUCCACAAACACAAUAAAAAUUUUCAUUAAAAUAUUUAAAACCCAAAA